UAUACCGCGAAACUGCGAAUGGCUCAUUAAAUCAGUUAUCGUUUAUUUGAUAGUACCUUACUACUUGGAUAACCGUGGUAAUUCUAGAGCUAAUACAUGCUAAAAAUCCCAACUUCGGAAGGGAUGUAUUUAUUAGAUUAAAAACCAAUGCCCUUCGGGGCUCUUUGGUGAUUCAUAAUAACUUCUCGAAUCGCAUGGCCUUGCGCCGGCGAUGGUUCAUUCAAAUUUCUGCCCUAUCAACUUUCGAUGGCAGGGUCUUGGCCUGCCAUGGUGACAACGGGUAACGGAGGGUUAGGGCUCGACCCCGGAGAUGGAGCCUGAGAAAUGGCUACAACAUCCAAGGAAGGCAGCAGGCGCGCAAAUUACCCAAUCCCGAUUCGGGGAGGUAGUGACAAUAAAUACUGAUACAGGGCUCUUUUGGGUCUUGUAAUUGGAAUGAGUACAAUUUAAAUCCCUUAACGAGGAACAAUUGGAGGGCAAGUCUGGUGCCAGCAGCCGCGGUAAUUCCAGCUCCAAUAGCGUAUAUUAAAGUUGUUGAGGUUAAAAAGCUCGUAGUUGAACCUUGGGCCUGGCUGGCCGGUCCGCCUCACCGCGUGCACUGGUUCGGCCGGGCCUUUCCCUCUGGGGAACCCCAUGCCCUUCACUGGGUGUGGUGGGGAACCAGGACUUUUACUGUGAAAAAAUUAGAGUGUUCAAAGCAGGCCUAUGCUCGAAUACAUUAGCAUGGAAUAAUAGAAUAGGACGUGUGGUUCUAUUUUGUUGGUUUCUAGGACCGCCGUAAUGAUUAAUAGGGACAGUCGGGGGCAUCAGUAUUCAAUCGUCAGAGGUGAAAUUCUUGGAUCGAUUGAAGACUAACUACUGCGAAAGCAUUUGCCAAGGAUGUUUUCAUUAAUCAGGAACGAAAGUUAGGGGAUCGAAGACGAUCAGAUACCGUCGUAGUCUUAACCAUAAACUAUGCCGACUAGGGAUCGGACGAUGUUAUUUUUUGACUCGUUCGGCACCUUACGAGA
rnacentral:rRNA from 1 species